UGUGGCGCACGGGUGAGUAACGCGUGGAUAAUCUACCCAAUGGUCCGGGAUAACAUUUCGAAAGGGGUGCUAAUACCGGAUAAGACCACCUCUGGAAAAGGUGCGCAAUUGGAUGAGUCCGCGUACCAUUAGCUAGUUGGUAGGGUAAAGGCCUACCAAGGCUACGAUGGUUAGCUGGUCUGAGAGGAUGAUCAGCCAUACUGGAACUGAGACACGGUCCAGACUCCUACGGGAGGCAGCAGUGGGGAAUUUUGCGCAAUGGGGGAAACCCUGACGCAGCAACGCCGCGUGAGUGAUGAAGGCCUUCGGGUCGUAAAGCUCUGUCAGAGGGGAAGAAUGACGGUACCCUCAAAGGAAGCACCGGCUAACUCCGUGCCAGCAGCCGCGGUAAUACGGAGGGUGCGAGCGUUGUUCGGAAUUAUUGGGCGUAAAGCGCGUGUAGGCGGUUUGUUAAGUCUGAUGUGAAAGCCCCGGGCUCAACCUGGGAAGUGCAUUGGAAAC
rnacentral:rRNA from 1 species